rnacentral:rRNA from 1 species
UACGAAGGUGGCGAAUGUUGCUCGGAUUCACUGGGCGUAAAGCGUCGGUAGGUGGUGUUUUAAGUUAGAGGUGAAAGCCCCGCGCUCAACGUGGGAACUGCCUUUAAAACUGGAGCACUAGAGAGUAUCAGGGGAUGGCGGAAUAACUGGUGUAGAGGUAAAAUUCAUAGAUAUCAGUUGGAACACCCAUGGCGAAGGCAGCUAUCUGGGAUAUUUCUGACACUGAGCGACGACAGCGUGGGGAGCAAACAGG